rnacentral:lncRNA from 1 species
UCUCUGUGACGCCACUUGCAACUGAGACAGCUGAAGACAGGAUGGGGGACUUUUACGCGGACCACAAAGACUCAGCCCUGAGGAUCCAAGUUGCUGCUUGAUUGAAACAUGGAAUUUACAGCGCUGUAUUGGAGCGUCGCUGGAGCACGGGAGGGGACAAGAAUUCACCCGAUCCAGUAGUUUCUGCUGUCAGAGGCCAGGAAAGGGAGACAAGUGACGUGUCUGCUGCUGCCUGACAGCUCCUCUGCUCCUGUGCAAACCCCAUGACGUGACUGCGUGUAGGCGAGUGCCGCUCUCGCCGCUCCC